UACAGAGGGUGCAAGCGUUGUUCGGAAUUAUUGGGCGUAAAGGGCGCGUAGGCGGCCUGAUCAGUCGGGGGUGAAAGCCUGUGGCUCAACCACAGAAUGGCCUUCGAUACUGUCGGGCUUGAGACCGGAAGAGGUAAGUGGAACUGCGAGUGUAGAGGUGAAAUUCGUAGAUAUUCGCAAGAACACCAGUGGCGAAGGCGGCUUACUGGUCCGGUUCUGACGCUGAGGCGCGAAAGCGUGGGGAGCAAACAGG
rnacentral:rRNA from 1 species